CCUACGGGUGGCAGCAGUAGGGAAUCUUUCACAAUGGGCGAAAGCCUGAUGGAGCAACGCCGCGUGCAGGAUGAAGGCCCUCGGGUUGUAAACCGCUUUCAUAAGGGAGAAAUAUGAUGGUAACUUAUGAAUAAGGAUCGCCUAACUACUUGCCAGCAGCCGCGGCCAUACGUAGGAGCCGAACAUUAUCAGGGGUGUCUGGGUGUAAAGAGGUGCGUAGGUGGGGUAAUAAGAAGCUGGUGGAAUCUGCUGGCUCAAACAUUCAGACUGUUAGGUAAACUGUUAAGCUCGAGACCGUUAGAGGUAACUGGAAUUUCUAGUGUAGGAGUGAAAUGCGUAGAUAUUAGAAGGAACACCAAUAGCGUAGGCAGGUUACUGGAACGGUACUGACGCUAAGGCACGAAAGCGUAGGGAGCAAACGGGAUUAGAUACCCCUGUAGUC
rnacentral:rRNA from 1 species